ensembl:misc_RNA
AUGCCUGAUACCCUGGAUUCUUCUAUGUAGCCAUAAAGCAGGUUCCGUUCAAGCAUCGUCUGUACAGGUUUCCCCACAUUGCCCUAAUGGUGGACCUCAACCAUUACCUGGAGAAACCACCUAUGGGAUUAAGAAGACAGCUCAGGCUCCUUACCCAGCAGUCUUCGGCCUUC